UGAGAUAGUUAAUCACGGAGGGUUUGAUCCUGGCUCAGAACGAACGCUGGCGGCGUGUCUUAAGCAUGCAAGUCGAACGAGAACCUGUUCGUUGGGUGGCUUGCCAAACUUCGAACAGGGGACAGUGGCGAACGGGUGAGUAACACGUGGGUAACCUGCCCUUGGAUGGGGGAUAGCUCUAGGAAACUAGGGGUAAUACCGCAUAACGUCGUUCUAUCAUAAGAUGGAAUGAUUAAAGGCGCCCUCUGAAAAUGGUGCCGUCCGAGGAUGGGCCCGCGGCCUAUUAGCUAGUUGGUAGGGUAACGGCCUACCAAGGCGACGAUGGGUAGCCGGCCUGAGAGGGUGUUCGGCCACAUUGGGACUGAGAUACGGCCCAGACUCCUACGGGAGGCAGCAGCUAAGAAUAUUCCGCAAUGGGCGAAAGCCUGACGGAGCGACGCCGCGUGGAGGAUGAAGGCCUUCGGGUUGUAAACUCCUUUUCACAGGGAAGAAUAAGGUUAGGAGUAACUGCCUGACCGAUGACGGUACCUGUGGAAUAAGCCCCGGCUAAUUACGUGCCAGCAGCCGCGGUAAUACGUAUGGGGCUAGCGUUGUUCGGAUUCACUGGGCGUAAAGGGCGUGUAGGCGGCUAUGCAAGUCGGAUGUGAAAUUUUCAGGCUUAACCUGAAAACUGCAUUUGAAACUGCGUAGCUAGAGUACCGGAGAGGGAGACGGAAUUCCUGGUGUAGGGGUGAAAUCUGUAGAUAUCAGGAAGAACACCGGUGGCGAAGGCGGUCUCCUGGCCGGAUACUGACGCUGAGGCGCGAAAGCUAGGGGAGCAAACAGGAUUAGAUACCCUGGUAGUCCUAGCUGUAAACGUUGUGCACUAGGUGUAGGUAGGUUUAUCCUAUCUGUGCCGGAGCUAACGCAUUAAGUGCACCGCCUGGGGAGUAUGCUCGCAAGGGUGAAACUCAAAGGAAUUGACGGGGGCCCGCACAAGCGGUGGAGCAUGUGGUUUAAUUCGAUGAUACGCGAA
rnacentral:rRNA from 1 species